UGUUUGUCCUUUUAAUAAGAAAGAUGCUCAAAUACGGUGUUAUAAUCAUUGGGCUAAAGUGUUGUCAUGUCUAUGGUUAGAGUACUACAUCAUUGUCUACGUAUGAGCGUUGACAGUCUCAAUUUCGUAUCAGUUUAGUUGGUUCAUUUAAUGAAGGUUGAAAAACAUGAAGAGGCUUUGACUGUUUUGGUCUUAUAGGAUUCUGUUUUCUUGUUGUAUGAAUGAACACCAUCUUCUGAAAAUGCUCACACUUCAUAUGCUGAUUGUUAUAAAUGCUUGAAAAAUACCAGAGCACUUGAUUUUUAUACAUGCUUUUGAAUCCAUCAUCAGAAAGAGAUGGUCAUCUUAUUAAUUACACUCCUACGAUGGCACUUUGAAAUGCGGUACAUGUUUCACAGUUCUCCUCUCAAGCAUAUAUAUUUCUUUGGGUUAAUUAUGAGCUCAACAUUGAGUAUUUUCCACUUGAUUGGAGUGCUCCUCUUGACCAGAUUUUCCGUUUCCUUUUUAGUUUCUGAUCUGAAGGUGAAUAGUUAGCAGACACAUGCCAAUGUUUGUGUAUGCUUAUAAUAGUUGUUAAUUUAAACUUUGGUCUCCAUUUGCAGGUUGAGAGUAUAGUAUUAAGCAUCAUUUCGAUGCUUUCUAGUCCAAAUGAUGAAUCACCGGCAAAUAUUGAAGCAGCUAAGGACUGGAGAGAGAAGCAGGAUGAGUUCAAGAAGAAGGUCAGGCGCGCUGUACGGAAAUCCCAGGAAAUGCUCUGAAUAAAGUGGGAGUACUGGGGAAGUUAGCCAUGCCAUUUCAGGUGUGGAGGGUUUUGCUGUCGAUCUCCAAAUGUCCAUCCGACACUAGCAAUUUCACUUCUCCCCUGUAUAUUUUCCAUUAGCCUGUCUCCUGUGGAGGUCUUGGUUUUGACUCUGAAAACGCAACGCAUAUUUCUAAGGGUCUGGUUGUUGUAAUUGUGUGGCUUCGGCUAUCAAAUAUUGAGAAACUUUGGAGAGCUGCUACUUACCAUAA